UGUUUGUCCUCUGGACAGAUUCUCUGUGGAUUUCUGCUGCCCCUCCAGAGUGACAAUGGGCCUCUCGGCUUCUAGAACUGCAGUCUUGCAGAAUACUUUUUCCAUUUUUGGAUGAUGGAUUGAACAGCGCUCCUUGGGAAGCUCAAAGCUUGGGAUAUGUUUUAUGACCUAACCCUGCUGUAAUAUUCACAAUGCUGUUUGUUCACAAGUGUUCUCUAACAAAUCACUGAGGCCUUCACAGAACAGCUGUAUUUAUACACAGCUGUAUAAAGCUGUAUAAAUUACACACAGCUGGACUCUAUUAACUAAUUAAAUGACUUCUGAAGGCAGUGGAUUUUAUUUAGGGGUUUCAGAGUAAAGGGGGCUCAAUAGAUUUGCACGUCACAUUUUCCAAUUUUUUAUUUAUUUAAAUUUUGAAAACCAUGGAUCAUUUUUUUAUUCUACUUCACAAUUAUCAGCUACUUUGUGUUGGUCUAUCACUUAAAAUCUUAAUAAAAUACAUGUAAACACAUUUUGUGGUUGUAAGGUGAUAAGGGGUAUGAAUACUCUAAUAAUGUCGCUGUUGGUUGACAUAAAUCUUUAAUCAACUUGUAAUUUAGUUUACAUUUUAUGUCUUUUCUCCGUCUGCCUAGAACGGCACCCUUCUUGAAGGGGAUAGCCUUUUGUUGAUACAGAAUGUUGCGGAGAGUGAUGAAGGAGAAUACACGUGCUCGGUGAAUUUUACCCAUGAAGGAAAUGUGUACACUGCUGCCCAGACCUUUCGAGUCCGCACACAUUACGCGACAAUUCCACAAAAGCCCAGAGUGGUCAAACCACAAAAGGAAAUUCAUUCUGUAACAGUUGGUAAGUACUCUGCUAAAGGUGCUUCUUGCAGUUUACCUAUACAGAGAAACCCAUUCCCAUACAGCAGAUCUAAAAUGAUUCCACACAGAACCACUGAAAUUGGACUGGACUGAAAUCAGUCACUUUCUCUACUGGAACACAUACUUCUAGCUGAUCUCUUUAGAACCCUCCACUGCGUUCUCCUAUUUCGGGGGGUUUUGUAUGCUUUAAUGGGUCGCUGUACUGCAGAUUCCAUAAUACCGUGCUCCAGUGCCAGUAGCAACUUAAUUUUGCUUUCUGUUAACAGUACAAUGAUCUGCUUUAACAAAAAGGUUUAAGUGUUACCCAGGCGGGUUAGUACAAGGUUGUCGGCUCGGCUGUCAACCUCUUAAAGAGGCUGCACGGGGUGGAAAUGGGCUUGUUACCCUGAGAUUGUCCAUAAUUUUUCUCUGUUUUGGUUCUCACAUCCCCAGGCAUUGAAUUAAAUGCUUCACAAUUGAAUGUCCAUUUAUUUCAAUUUAAUCUAGAUUUAUUUUUUCUCUAUUCAGCUGCUUAAAUGUGUGAUUUCUGUGUUGCCAGACUUUUUAUCAGGACAAAUACAUAUAAAAGAAACAGCACAUGGUUGAAAAAUUGCCAGUACAUUUGAGUUCUGUGUAAAAUGACAGAAGAGUUUACUUUCAUUCUCAGUUUUAUUCCUUUUUCCUUUGUAAAUACCAAAUUGUUUGUACCUGCAACAAAUGUGUAAGUGAAUUUUCUAAAAAAGGUGCUGGUUAUAUAUAACAUUAUUUCUGGCUUUAUCUGUUUUUGUGUUUGUGGCUGUAGGUUCAAGACAUGACUUAAACUGUAAAGCUUUAGUUGGAACUGAUCAAGAAGAUCCCGUAGAUCCUUUCCAAAUAUAUUGGCUGGUGAACGGAAAGUAUGCUGAGAGAGUCUCUAAACACUUUAUUUUUAAUGUGAGGUGAGUUUACAGAGAAAUACAGGAGAGCGGGUGCCAGAAAAAUGCGUUUUGAGCCAGAUUGAUUAUGUUCACACCAGUCUUAAUAAAGGUAGUGUUAUUAAGUGUUACA
rnacentral:lncRNA from 1 species